rnacentral:rRNA from 1 species
GAUGAACGCUGACAGAAUGCUUAACACAUGCAAGUCGAUUCAAAGUUCCCUUCGGGGAAUGGAGGAUGGCGGACGGGUGAGUAACGCGUAAGGAACUUGCCUUUUGGCCUGGGACAACUGUUGGAAACGACAGCUAAUACCGGAUAUUAUGAGAUUCUCGCAUGAGAAACUUAUGAAAGCUAUAUGCGCCAAAAGAGAGCCUUGCGUUCCAUUAGCUAGUUGGUGGGGUAACGGCCCACCAAGGCGACGAUGGAUAGCCGGCCUGAGAGGGUGAACGGCCACAAGGGGACUGAGACACGGCCCUUACUCCUACGGGAGGCAGCAGUGGGGAAUAUUGGACAAUGGACCAAAAGUCUGAUCCAGCAAUUCUGUGUGCACGAUGAAGGUUUUCGGAUCGUAAAGUGCUUUCAGUUGGGAAGAAGAAAGUGACGGUACCAACAGAAGAAGCGACGGCUAAAUACGUGCCAGCAGCCGCGGUAAUACGUAUGUCGCAAGCGUUAUCCGGAUUUAUUGGGCGUAAAGCGCGUCUAGGCGGAAAAGAAAGUCUGAUGUUAAAAUGCGGGGCUCAACUCCGUAUUGCGUUGGAAACUGCUUUUCUAGAGUACUGGAGAGGUGGGCGGAACUACAAGUGUAGAGGUGAAAUUCGUAGAUAUUUGUAGGAAUGCCGAUGGAGAAGUCAGCUCACUGGACAGAUACUGACGCUACAGCGCGAAAGCGUGGGGAGCAAACAGG